GUCGACGAAGUGAAAAGGACAGUCGAAAGAGAAGGGAGAGGAAGAGGAGGAAGAGGAAGAGGAGGAGGAACGUUUCGUGUCACCUGUGUGAGUCCACCUACCAGUCCUAAGAGAUCGGAUGGAAAUUGCUUGAAACUCUUUCAAAGAGAGGGAGAGAGAGAGAGAGAGGAGAGAGUGGGAGAGAGAAAAAGAGGGAGAUAAGAAGAAGAGCGCAAACGCGGUCGGUAGAUCGAGAAAAGCGAAUCUAGGGUACUCGGAGUAAACGCAAAAUUAGGUCCUAGACCGUCCCUACGAAGUAGGUCACAACGGCACAGGCGCACGGAGUAGCACAUACAUGAAGAGUGGAUAGUGCGUGUCAAAGCACCUACUAUAUCCCGUCGAAUUAGCAUGGAAACAAGAAGAAAGCUCGCAAGAAAUUUUCUCACAAUCGUCUCUCGACGUAUCAUCAACAACGUCCGCCGUUGUAAACCGUUGUCCCGAUGAAGUUUCCAACGAAAAGUACAACUCUAAUAUAUCGCAGAAUUUCAAUUCGCGAUAAGGAUAUGUAUAAUAAUAUUAAGGAUCCAACGCGAAGUAGAAAGGAAUAAAAGGUAAACAGGAUAAGUCGACCUAUGUUUACAACGUCCUUCAAGGUUUCCAUAGUCGAUUCGUACUGCUUCCAAUUCGAUCUAAUCGUCGAUCUUUCUCGAUAUUUAGGAAAAAUUUAACAAAAAUUAUAUCUAGAAUUUUAUCUAGAUCAUAUAAACGCUUCAAAAAUAUUAACUAUAAUGAAUAAUUAUGAUUA